GCUCUGGGCUGAACAAACCUAGGGAACUCAACUGCUCCUCACACAUCUUGCCCUCCAGACCCCUCAGCACCUUCGUAGCCCUCCUUUAUAUGCUCUCUAAUAGUUUUAUGUCCAUAUUGUGGCACCCAAACCUGCACCCAGUGCUGGAGGUGCAGCCGCACAGCACAGAGCACAGUGGGACGGUCCCUCACCUCAUGGCAGUGCUGGGCCUGGUGCACCUCAGGGUACAGUUGGCCUUCCUGCUUGCUAGGCCACACUGCUGGCUCAGAUACAACUUGCUGUCAGCCAAAACCCCUAGAUCUCUUUCUAUGGGGUUACUCUCAGCCUCCUGUUCCCCAGUCUGCAUGGAUAUCCAGGGUUGCUUCAGCCCUGAUGCAGAAUCCGGCACUUACUUCUUUUGAGCUUCAUGUGGUUGGUGACUGCUCAGCCUUCCAAUUUGUCAAAAGCUAUCUACAAGGCCUCUCCACCUUCCAGAGAUUCAGCAGCUCCUCCCAGUUUGGUAUAAUCUACAAACUUCCUUAGUAUGCAUUCAAGUCCUGAGUCCAGAUCAUUUAUAAAAACACUGAAGAGAGCUGACACUAAAAUGGAGCCCUGCAGGGCCCCACUAGUGCCUUCUGCUCUCUUUGAAUUAGGCCCUAAAUGGAGCACAUGGCAGAGCUGUGCCCUGUGGGCCUCAGGCCUUUCCGGAUGCAGCAAUGCUGCUGUCACUCUUUGCAGUGCCUCUCAGUGCUGAGCUAGCAGUAUCUGCCCUUGGGCUGAGCAUGGGCAAAGCUGUGGUCAUGAAAAAACACACUCAGAAGCAACCUUUAAAAGGAAAUAAAUGCAAGCCAACCAACACUAGCGUAAGCCAGGUAGCAUAUGCAGUGCUAGAAGCAGAGCAAAUUCCUUGAAUUUAUCAAUCCCAAUGUGGAUUGUAUGAGCUCAGGGGAUGGAGAUAGCUUAGAAAUACACAGCAGGGUCUUGUUGCAUUAAAAGGUGGUGGUCUUAGUGUGGCAAUGGAGCAUUGGUGCUGCAGCACCCUGCUGCCUGCCGCUUGGUCCCCUCUGUUCUGUUAGGCCAUUUCCCAACAGGUUUGCAAUCACUCAUCAACAAAGCUUGCUUCGCAAGUUGCAAUUGAGUAAGACAAACCACCAGACUGCUGAAAGGAGAUGUUUAACUGGCACCGACAUCUGCUAGGAUUCUUAGUUUUGCUUUUAACUUCAUUUUUUUUGUUAUGAUUCACUUGUGCAAACUUAUGAAAAAUUCAUUGGAAGGAGCUUUCAUCUACUCUGGUCUUAAUGCCUUCCAGUGCCUACCUUUCAGGGUCUGGUUGAAGCUUUCUAAUGAUGGAAUUCAUUUAUUUAUUUAUUUUUCUUCCUGUGACAGUUCUGUUUAAGUGCAAUUCAGAAGGCCUGAAUUGUUUCACUUAGUCCUAUGGGCAUUGGCAGGCAGAGAACAUAUCAAAGUUAUAGAAUCAUAGAUUCAUAGAAUGGCCUCGGUUGAAAAUGACCUUAAAAAUCAUCUGGUUUCAACCCCCUUGCUGUGUCCAGACACAAAUUAAAAUUGUCACAUGAAGUUGCACUUUGUUUGGGUGGCAGUGCCACGUAUUAAUGACCCAGAAAUUCUUCUGCAUUGCAUUUAACGUCAGAUCAAGGCAGAAAUUUAUCUUGUGAUAAUCUGUUGCCCAAACACUUUUCUAUUGUUGUUUUUACACUGUACUGCAAUUGUACACUGAGCUUCAGCAGCACUUGGCUGUACUCAGAGCUCCACGAUUGCUGUCCUCCAGGCAGCUCACUGCACAGCACAUCAACCAAUUCAGACAGCCAGCCUGAUCCCUCAGCCCUUAUACCUGGGUAUAACCCAGGGCUAGGCAACCGUGGUACCCUGCUGACAAGCAAGGAAGCCGGUUGAGACACAUUGCUGCAAAGGGCUUGCACGGCCACGAGAGGACAGCAUUGCUGUUUCUUAUUCAAUAAAACAGUCUCUUCAAUGCGUUUAGUGGGAGGGCGCUUUGGAAAGUCAAGGCAGACCUUCCAGCACGGGCUGGGGUAGGCAACGUUGUGGCACCCCAACCCUCAGGUAGGGAACACCUUGCCAUCCAUGUGGAGAUGGGUGGCCUUUAACAUCACUCUGAUCACCUUAUUUUCAGGCUGUACACUAAAUAGGAGUUUUAGCCUCUUCUCACCCCAGGUCUGUUCUCCGAUCAUGCAGAAGGGCUCAAGGAAGAACCUGAGACAUGAUACCAGAAAAGGAUCAGAGUUUGUGCAACGUGGAUACUGGCAAAGGCAAAUGUGGGGAAUGAAUGGAGGAACAAGGACUGCUUUUUACAUACUACCAUUUCAUACUAUUCUCACUUUAGCCACAGCAAUGCCUUAAGCUCCUCUGCAGAACCUGAACAGAAAACAGAUCUGAUUUCGGAUUUGCAUGUAGAUCUGCUGACAUAAGUAGAAAAAACCAUGAAGAAACUUGCACACUCCUGGUAUAAAUAGAAAAUUUCACACCAUAUGGUUUGUACGUCAAGAGAGAGGUUCUAUAAGAUGUUAAAUACAUUAAGUGAGAUGACGACUACUCUUAUACUGGCUUGAGUGGGAUGUGAGGGCAUUAGGCAGCUGCUAGGGUUGGUACCUGAUCUAGUGGAACACCUAUUCUGUCUUUAAUCCAUGCACAGGAAUGCUGUGGUUGUCCUAAGGGAAAGGGUGAGAACAGAGACGUGAAGCUCCACACAUUAUCUCUUCCUUGGUUUUUGUAAAAGCUAAAUGAUCAUUAUUGAAAUAGAACCAGAAACUAUAUGGUCAGAGAAGUCCUCUGUGAUGGCCAUAUCUGAUGUUCAGUACAUAAAAUGACGUAAGACUAAAUACAAUUAAUUUAUUUCUGAUCUUUCUUUCUAGCAUUUAAAAUAUAUAUAUCUUAUGUCAUCUGCUUUUGUUCAGCAAGCCUUUGGCUCUUGCUGUACAUUUGCCAGGUUGAACAAAUUACUGCUAGCAAGUGUCUUCUCCACACCUACGCACUUCUAGACUGACUGACCAAGCCCAUUCUUUACCUUUUCUAUAAAAUAAGCAGGGUAACUCUUUACCUUUUUCAUCACACAACGUUUGAAUCAUUUUAAUGGAUUUUUUUUUUUUUUUGGUAAACAUUUUUUUUUUUUUACAAUGACAUACUGUAGGUACUGUCAUACGACCCAGCAUUCCAUUAGUUCCUCAGUGUCAGGCAUAACAUAAGCAAGGGAUCCUUCCUAUUCAUUCUCCAGUUGCCAUUCCAUGCUUUUGAUAGCCCUUAGCUUCAGUGAUCAUCAGAUCACCGACUUUCAACAGUGACCGGCAAGUUUCCAGUUCCCAGCCUUCACUGCUACUUGCAAAUUCCCAGUACUCAGCUUUCACCACAUUUUGUUCUUCCAACGCAUGUUGGGCUAAGUCCCUCACUUGCACAGUCUGUGGUCCAAGUAGACAAACAAGCUAAGGGCAGCAACGAGAACAGAAGUGCAAAGUGCCAGAGUCUUUACCAUUCCAGUGUUGAUCACAUAUCUGUGUGCCCACUGAGAGCAGCCUUGAGGAAAAGGACUUGGAGGUGCUGGUGGAUGAAAAGCUCAACACAAACCAGUAGUGUGUUCUUGUAGCCUGGAAAGCCAACAGUAUCCUGGGCUGUGUCAAAAUAGGGGUGGCCAGCAGGGAGAGGGAGGUGAUUGUCCUCCUCUGUUCCGUCCUCAUGAGGACUCAUCUGGAGUACUGCAUCCAGGUCUGGGGCCUCCAGCACAGAAGAGAUGUGGAGCUGUUGGAGCAGGCCCAGAGGUGAGCCAUGAAGAUUAUCAGAGGAUUGGAGCACUUUUCUGGUGAAGAAAGAAUAAGGUAUAGUAGCUUGUUCAGUUUGGAGAAGAAAGCUCCAGGAAGUCCUCAUUGUGGCCUUCCAGUACUUAAAGGGAGCUUAUGAACAGGAGGGGGAUCAACUUUUUACACAGUCUGACAAUGAUAGGACAAGAGGAAGCAGUUUUAAACUAAAAGAUGAAGAUUUAGGUUAGGUUAUAUGUUUCUUAGAGGGUGGUAAGGCAGUGGCACAGGCUGCCCAGCAAAGCUGUGGGUGCCCCACCCCUGGAGGUGCUUAAGGCCAGGUUGGAUGGGGCCCUGGGCAACCUAAGCUGGUGGGUUUCUGCCUUGCCCAUGGCAGGGGAUUGGAACUGGGUGGGCUGCAAGGUUCCUUCCAGCCCAAAUCAUUCCGCGAUUCUCUGAGUUUGUGAUUCCAUGAUGCUAUGAUUCUGUGUUCUGCUCUGGAGUACUGUAGCAUCCCUAGCUGCUGACCACUACCUAACCAUAGUGUCACAACAUACUUGCUACUCACAUGUGCUGCAUUACUGCUUGUGUGAGUGCUCCCCUGCCUUUCCCAAGCAAAAGCAGAGCUCAGGCAGUAGAUCAUUGCUAACCCAGCUCAUGCUGACAGAGUUCAGCUAAUAAACACUUAUGCAGCUCUGGCAGCAGGUCUGGCAGACAGAAGAUGAUCAACAGCCAGGAGAGAUGAAGCUCCUCAUGUCCACAGCCAGCUCAGCUGCAGCCUGGUGGACCAGUGAGGACAUUCUGUGUUAGGUCUCUGGUUCUUAUCUCAGCUGCAUCUUCUGCUGCCUGCACAAGUCCUGGGCAUAGACAGGGAAUGGGGCUAGGUCACUUCAGAAGGGUGACUGGUUCACUGAGGAUCUGAAUGUGGGCCCCAGAAGCUCAAUCAGACAUAGAAAAAUCAAUUAGUCAUGUGGAGGAUGUAAAGGGAGGAGAAGGCUGCAGAAAGUAGUUUGUUACAAAUACACAAAAUCAAAUAGCAAAAAGUAGAGGGCACAAUUUCACUCACGUUCUGCUUCCUGCCAUGAUGAGCACCCGUGAAGUUAUGGCGAUGUUACUGGUGAUUUGGCUGGACAGGAUGGGCCCCUUGGUGGCACAGGUUUGUGGGGAAGGGUCUUAACCACUUGUGAAGUCAAAUACUGGCUUGAUUCUCUUGUCAACCCCAACCCUGUGUUCAUGAGUUCACAUUUAAAUGAAAACGAAAUCCAUAUAUGUACUGUAUGGUGACACCAGCUUUCAUGUAAGCAGUGAGUUAUCACUGGGUGCCUCAUUAGCAAAGGCAUGAGGGCUGGGCAAUCUCAAAAGACAGCCAAGAUGAAGUGGGCAGCAUCUUCUCUCUGUGCUACUACUUGAACCAAAGGAACAAGAAACAGACUGAAAGGUCUGGCAAAGCAAAAGCAGACAGUCUCUGCUCUUAAUUUCUAUAAGAAAUUUCUGCUCUUAAUUUCUGUGACUUGUGUAGUGGCACAUUCUGCAUAAAGGCAGUAUUGACAGUUUGGAGUAUCAAAGCUCCAAUGCCUUCCAAAAUCCUUACCAUGGCUUAAAGAUUCUGAGACUUCUUAAAAAAAAAAAAAAAAAAAAAAGUCAAUUUCCUUUUAUUUUCCUUUGGGUUUUGGAGUCUUUUGAGGAGAGUUUUCUUCCUCUAUGUUGCAAAAAUAAAGGUUUACUUUUUGCUGUGAAUGAAUGCAGAGGGCCUAAUGGACUCCCCUGGUUCCAGCUUCUGAGUCUUUAAGGGAAACACGGAAAGUCAUUAAGAUGUGCAAUUAAACCAUGACCGUGGCUAGCACAGCAAAUAUAAAUGCAAACCCUGCCCUAGAGAACAAAGACCCAUUCAUUCUACCCAAAUAGGUUUUGUAACUUGCUUGCUGCUUCUUUUUUUUCCCCAUCCUUAAUUCUUCAGAACGAGGGGGAACUUUCUUGGCUAAUGCCACAUCCUGGAUAGUAAGAAAAGCCUGUGCUCAGCUGCCUGAGUCUGCUGUGUCUCCUGUCUGCCACCCCUCUAGAAAAGUGAGGUUGCAAGCAAAUAUCAGCAGAGACAGAAUGAAAAUAAAGAGCCGUGAUAACUCUGGUAAAGUCACCAUUAUGCAACUACAAAUGAUAGGAGUAGAAAUAUAGAUGCGGAAAAUGUCUAAAGGCAGCUGAGGUUGCAUUCCUUAUUGGAAGUAAGAGGUGAAGGAAGAUCAGUCGGUGGCAAGCGCUCUUACUCCAUAUAUUGAGAAGGAUUUGCCAGCAAAGGAUAUUAAUGACCUGAGAGUGAAUUGCAAGACCACAGGGGAAAUCUGAACUGAAAAUGGAAAAGACAGAAAGCUAGGCAGGGGGAUUUGUAUCGAGUUAAAGUGUCAACAUUUAGAGAUGGAUGGAUCACUGUAACUCAGACUAGGAGGAACGAAAAAAAAAAGCUCAACAAAGAAACCAAAGUAUACAUCAAACCAUACCACCAGUGUUUCCCCUUUACUCCAAAAUUAAAGCUCUGCCAGCCUGACCUUUUGUUCUCAGUCGUAAAUGUGCAACCAGAUUGGUUCAGAGUGAAAAGCAGCAGUUUAAAGAGUGGGGUAGACUGCCUCUGACACCUCUCAAAAACUCCUCAGUAUCCCUCAGGCCCUCUUUUUCAUAACCCUCAAAUGUCACUGAAUACCAUCUCUUUGGUACUUCAUGAAAUUUAACUGACCCAACACACAUAAAUGGAUGAAGGGCUUUCAGAAGGCAGUGCAUCCAAAAAGAUUGCUUGCCAAGUAUGUUGAAUGACCAAUGAUGCAAUACUUGGAGUUACAGUUUUUGAAGACCACAAUUUGUAUUGGAGUAUUCUGUUUUAUAAUCCUAUCUCUAUUCCUGUCAUGAAUACAUACUACAAGAUGUAAUCUAUGAAAAGCGUCUCCCAUGUUUUUCAUUUAGACGUUCCCUUGUUUAAGCAUGAAGACCACCCACUUGAGAUAUUAUGCUCUUGCUGCAGUUUACAGAAUGGAUUGAGGUGUUGGGUUGGUGUUUUUUUCUUACUGCUUCUUAGGAAUCAUUUAAGUUCUAGGCAUUUCCAUGACUAUUUGUGCCCUUUAAUCCCCACAGAUUGGCUGAAUGCUUUGGCUUAGUCUUCCUCUUUCUGUAAUGAGGCAUGGUCCUGUUGAUCCCAUACUGUGAGCCAGAAGAGAGGCUGGGGGAGUACGGGGAGGUCUGUGCUCCCGGUAUGGGGCAGGUCAAGGGAGGGCCCUGCCCAGGGAUUCACAAGCCUCUCAUGCAGAGAGAGCUGAGAGCUGGUCCAAGGAACAGAAUACAACUGGCACAAAAUUGCUUUUUCUUUCAAGCUACAGGGUUUUUCAAUCAACUACAGAUUUUAGCUGUAAGAUGUGAUAUUUGGCUGCUGUUUAGGCUUAAUUUAUUAACAGUUUAUUCCAACCUUUCAGACGAUUAGCCAAAUUUGCUACUCUGAAUGGCCAAACUAGAAAUUGGUCCUAGUUUCAUGAGAGAAAGAGACGCCUUGUAAGUUCUUCAUGAUGUCUUGGUUUCAGAUAUAUGAGAAGCACAUGCCCAACAAAACCUAUUCUCCCCUCCACUCCAGUUUUACUCUUUCCUUUCCCAGUUAUAAAAGUGAGAUGUGCUGAAGUGUGUAAAAAACAUAUACCCACAUUUCCCACACUUUCCCAAAGCUCAGCCUGUAUUCCAGGAGACUGUGUGAGUUUAGUUAGCUUUCCCCAAAGCCAUUCAGCCACUGCUAAAUAAGAGAGAAGGUAAUUGGUCUAUUUUUGGAGUUCACACCAUAUUGUUAAGAGUGUUGAUUUUUAUUAAAUGGAAACCGGUCAAAGCUUCCUUCAUGUCAAAUUUCUGGUGACAUUUUUUCCUUAAACUCUUCAUUUUAUCUCAGAAGCAUCUCUCCGCAUUUUAAAGUUUAGAUAAGUAUUAGAAGUAUUCUUAAAGCCUUCUAUAUGCUUCUGGGUUUUUUUUACGCAAAUAGGUUGAGUAGAUAAAGACAUUAGGAAGUCUAGGCUCCCAACUUCUAUCCCUUAACUUAGUGAAAUGUCAAUAAACUCUUCAUGAUCUGAAGAGACAGCUUUGACUACUUGUAUGUUGGUUGCUCUGAAAUUAAUGCCUCUUGUUUAUUUCAAUGGAAACCACAACAGUUAUAAAGACCACAAUAGCACUAUUUGAUAGAGCAUUUUUUCAGCUACAAAACACUGUUUUUCAACAUAGUCACCAAUAUUAGCUAUGCAUUUUCAACAGUGAUGAAAAGAGCUUGCAUGCUUGUAAAAAUCUGCACCAGCAGAGAUGACCCGCUCUUUUACAGUUGCUGUGAUGGUAUAAGUGGUAUAAUUGCUAGGAAAAUGUUGCCCUUGCAGUCCCUCUUUCAUUGGCCCAAACAGAUGGAAGUCAGAAGGCACCAAAUCCGGACCAUACGAUGGAUGUGGUAUGAUAGUCUAGACACGCCUGGUGAUGUGCUCCAUGGUUUUCACUCUGGUAUGUGGCCUGGUUUUCUUGUGUUCAAAAGUUUGUCUUCUUCUUUGGCCUGACUUUGGAAGUUUGAGUCUUCAGCUUAGUCAGUGUCAUGAUGUAGUGAUCAGAGUUGGUGGUUUGUCUGCAUUUCAGAAAAUUCAGAAGGUCCACUCCUGCCCUAUCCCAAAAGACAAUGCCCGUCACUUUGCCCACUGAGGGCUGCAUCUUGAACUUUUUAUUCAAUAGGGAAUUCACGUCACCACUCCAUGGACUGCUGUUUUGACUCCGGCUGGCUCAUAGUGUUAACACCACAUCUUAUCGCCAGUAAUUAUGCAAUAAAGGAAACUGUCACCUUCAGCCUCAUAUUGGUUCAAUAGGUCCUGACAAACUUGCAUACAGUAUUCUUUCAGUUCCUAUAUGAGCAUUUGUGGGACCACUUGGUACAAACUUUGCAAUAUACUAAAGUUGUCACUAUAGUUUCCAAUACAUUGAAGCUGAUAUAUAGCUCCAUAUACAACUCCCUGGUUCUAAUCCACUCAUUUGCACAAAUGAGCUGAUGGCGAUGCUCUUCAUUUCAUGGUGUGACAGCUUGUUCCACCCAGAACAAGUGGUUUAUCUUUCAUGGCACGCUCGCCAAAGCUGAAACAACCACCCACUGCCUCACUGUGCUCAAAUCCAUUGUUCAAUCCAUUUCCAUAAAUGUUCAGCAAGCAUCAACGAAUGUCAACGGGGGUAGUUUUUUCUGCAUCAGACACCAUUGUGUCAGACUGUCUCUCUGCUGCCAUCUAUCCCAGAGCAACAAAAUGUAAGGGAAUACUGGCAGGAAGGUUCAAUCAUACCACCAUCUGCCUCUGACAUUGUGGGUCGAUAUAAUAAAAUAGGAGGCAUUACUUUCAGAGCAGCCCUCAUCGUUUAUGUCAGGAAGUCAACAAUUAUGUGCUUUUUGGGAUGUUCAGCAAGACUCAUUUGUGGAGCAUUUCUUCCAGCAGAACAAGAGAAGUAACAGAAUAUUUGUGAAGGAUGGGAUUCAAGAUAAGACAAGUAUAUUUAUUAGCUGGCACAAUAGCAGAAAGCAGCAGGAGCAAGCAUGCACAGAAGUUUUUUAGGCACUUCAUUUGGAUGUAGAGCCUGUGUAUUCUGUGGCUUCCAAUUGUUGCAAACCACUCCUGGGAACUGAGAAGGGGUGCAGCUUCUUACAUGCCUUCCAGGGUGAAGAAAGCUGUUUUCAAAAAGAGGAACCAUGCUGCCCAACUUCACAAGGAACGAGGAGCUGCAGGGCACAGCUGGAUGAAGGCCACGUAGGCAAACUCUGUAAAACCAGGCACGUACACCUGGAGCAAGAGUUAUGAAAGCAGGAGCUCUCCCAGGGCACCUAAUGGGUUGGGCUGUCACAUCCAGCUGGGGUUAGGACACAACUGGAUAGUGUUGGCUGAGUCUUUAUUGGCAACUGGUGUCCCAAAGAAGUCACCGAGACUACUUCAUGCAGUUAAUUGCUGGUUGCCAGAGACCUCCCAGCACAUCUCUCCCAUGUUUUUGGCAAUGGUGCUUAGAGUGAAAACAAAUAAAUAAAACAAAAGAAAAGAAAAGUCCUCCCUCAGUCCCCCAGCCAGUGUGUUCCAAUGUGCUCAAAGCCUUUGACUGGCAAAUAUAUGGAAUGUAUUUUAAGAAAGAGUUCCAAAGGUUUCCCAAAACCCAGAUUAGACUAGAGUCUCCCAUCCUCAGUGCAGGGAAACAGAGUGAAUGGAUAGGGUGUGAUAUGGAUUUUUUCUGAAAGUUUGUUUGGAUUUCAGGAAGUGAACAAGAUAAGCCAUACAGCCCUUUCUUGCUUUUGCUCUUUUAAUUUUUCUUUUCAAUACAUCCUGACAAAUUCUUGAAAGAGAGAAAUCUCGGAUGAGUUUGUCAAGUUCCUUCUACCUCACUUGCCCUUUAAAAAGCCAUCCACACAUUAAAUUGGGAGCUAGCAUGAAAUCAAUCUUUACCAGCUGAGCCCUUGGGCACAUAUGAAAGCUGUUUCCUUUGUCAUUUCUGCAGCAUAGAACACUAUUUUCUUUCUUCUUCCAUCUCUUUCAAAACUUGCAGAGAUUGGGAAAUAGUUCACUGUGUACUACAGAAUGCACCACAGGUAUGGAGUACCUGAUUGGGAAGGGAAGAAAGAAAGUAAUCCUUAUGUUGAGCACCGCAAGUGUUGAAGUGUGAAUGAGGCCUCUGACAUCACAUUGGUCUUGCUGCCAUAAGAGCCUGAGCAAAGACCAAGACCAAGUCAGCAAGGCCAUUCUCCAGCCUAGCUGCCCCAGGUUCAGCAAAGAGGACUGCACAAUGGCCAGUUACAAAAAUCCCUUCUCUAGGCAGAUUUGUUUCUGUGCAUCCUCAUUUACUUGGCAUAAGGUCUGGUCUUCCUGAUCCUUCCAAUGUGCUCAUGGAUGUUUGGCUUGCCAAUAUGUGUCUGACCCUUUGUGUCUUACCUCAGACAGACCUCUGAAUUUUCAGAUGUCUGGAUUUCAUGCUGGGCUACCUAUAUAGAUAAGUUGUUUUCCGCGUCCCUGCCUAGGAUAGAGUAUUUCUAAGUGAGAGAAAAAAGGUAUCUCAAUAAAAAAUAAUUAUAUUUCCUCCACCCAACACCCGUACUACCAUGUCACACUCCUUUUUCCCAGCUCUCACUUCUCUGAUACUGUACAACUGGAAACAUUUGCCAGUGGCACUUUUCAGAAAGCAGGCUUUUACUACUUGAUCAGAGAAAUCUCUGCAACCCUGUAUGUUACUGUUAAUACGAGGCUGGGCAAAUAAAUUCUACUCCUCUGCUGGAACAUGCUGACCUUCCUUCCCUCUUGUUUGUGUGAUCUCAAUUAAUUUCUUAUUUGAAAUCAGCAGCAACUAAAGGUAUUCCCUAGAAUUAAUUUUUAAAAGUGACUUGCUGCACUGAUCCUACAUCUCGCGUGGGUAUUCAAGGGUCAUUUAGUGCAGUAAAGAUUUUUCCACCAGCAGAUGUUACCAGAGCCUAACAGGAAGAUGGAGAAGGGCUACAACAGCAAGGAUAUGUAUGACACUAAAGAAUGUAAUAGGUUAAUGCAUCAGAUAGCCUUUGAAAAUAUCCAUGAUAAAAGCUUAGAAUAGUUUUAUAUCUGUAGCAGCCAAGUGAGUGGCAAAGAAAAUCUGUACAGUUCCUGUAAUAGUUUCUGAGGUUGGUGGGCUUUUUUUUCCCUAUUCUUUUUAUAGAGGCCAUUAAGUCAUAUACUGAUAGUUGGUGCUGCUUUCUUUGAAGAUACGUUCCUGUUGUGAAAAAUACAAGUACUGAAGAUCUCUUAUUAGAGCAUACGUAGAAGUAUGAGAAUCUGCCCACUCCUCUCCAUGAGGCUUCUUCUCAGCUUUGAAGAUCUUUAAAAUGGGGGAAGAUAAGUAAAUUUUCCAUAUUUAUGAAGAAUUUAGCCUCUUUGAUGAGGCUAUCAAUAGGGAACUAUGAUAGACAUAAUACAGGACCAAAAAAUACCCAGCUUUUCUGUUUCUUCCUGAAUUCUUUCUAUAUUUGCCCCAGUCGAACUAACCCUUUUCUUCUAACCUAUCCCUAGUUCACCAGGCUUAUUGAUUCUGAAUCUCUUCAUCUGCAAAACAGAACUAGUUUUGUGCCAGAACAGUGCAAUAAAUUCAAACAAACAUAUAUGUGGUAUCAUUCCAAAACUUCCAGAUCAAAUACAUGCUAGCUGUAAUAUCUCUGUAGUCCCAGGGAAUGCCAGCUGUGUUUUGGGGGUGUGUAUGCAUGCAUGGUGCUAUUACCUCUUCACUAGGAGGUAACCCACGACAGAACUGAUGUCAGAUCAUAAAUCUGUGACCUCCCCAGCAGUCCAGUUCUCUACAGGCUCAACCUAGAAAGCAUUUCCAAAGAAGUGUUUUUAAAAAACAGUACAUGUAUUUCAUUACUUAUUCUGCUGCAGCUGCUUUUGGCUUUCUCCCUCAUUAUAUCUCUUACAACUAUUCAUUUGUCUCCCUGCUGGGAAAAGAGAUGAGACAGUAAUGUAUGGAAACCAUAAGUGACCUCACUUUUAGGAUAUCUGAAACAAAGAUGGAGAUGUGAUUUGGACAGACAGGGUGGUCUAAAGAAAGAGAAUCACAAAGAAAACUAAGAGUUGAAGUUGUAGGCCACUCCAGCUAGCCAAUUAUCCAAUAUUUUGGGCUGCCAAAUUGCAAGUAACACUUGGGUCAAAAUUUCAGAAAAGUGCAUAAAACAAGUGUUAAAAUCAUUGCAAAAGUAUCUUCCACAAUUAGAUAUCCUACUGUAAGUGCCCAAAUUUGACCAGUACCUGUUGCAAAUAGACAUGCUGAGUAAAGCUGUGACAGCUCCAGCUGUGCCUAAAAUGGCUGAGGGCCUGAGGACACUCUUUUCAGUGUGGGUGGCUACACAAAACUCUAACCCAUGUGGGAGGCAGUUAGACUGCAAGUCUCAAUUUGUCAUGCCUAAUUUCACCAUUUAUGGCUGCAAUACAUUAUGUUUGGAGAGGGAGUAUCAGCAACAUACCAUGCAUUAAUCCAAAGGCUGAAUUCCUUAGUAGAUUAAAUAGCCUUCAUCUCCGAUAAGUGAUUGCAUUUCUGUUGCACAAACGGUGCUGUGAAGCACAUAAUGCUGUUAAUAGCUGAGAAAGAGUACAGCAUGAGAAAGUCCCUUUCCAGACUCACUUCCUCAGGAUGUCGUUUGGAUUUAGAAAUAUCUGUGGGCUGCAAAGCUUCCACCCACGUUUCUAACUUCACUAUUUCCUGGAUGCUUGAGUUCCCUUAGGACCAACAUAUCAUGGUAUACCAAAAAAUAUUAUACAUAGCUUUGCCCUCUAGAUCAGCAGUGCCCUCUGGAAGAACCCUUUGUUUUACUGGCAGCAGCAAGUACACACGUUAUCCAAAGCUGCAAGAUCAGCAGAAAUGAAGAGUUUUUCUCUUUGACAGCAGCUGUAGUUGUCUGGGCUGAAAUACCUCAGAUUAGUACGACAGUUUACCACAAAAUAUCCCCAUCCUGCCCAAAGAGCCUGCCCAAAACAUGCCCUUUCUCUCCUUACCUUCCAGUCUUGGCAGCGUGUGAAUGCUUAUUUUCCCAGUGUGUCACAUAAGAAGCUUUUCUGAAAUGUUCCUUCCUCGGUCAUUUCUGCUAACUCCAUAAAAAAAAAAAAAAAGUUUAAAACUCAAGGGGACAAAACAACAGAAAUCUAUUUAUCAAGGGAAGAGAGCAAAUUCUGUUUCUAUGCACAGAAGCAAUAGAGAGCAGCCUAUUACCAAAGUUCUGAGCCAGUGCUGCUUUUAGAUCUGAGAUAAUCGCCAAAGUAUUUAGCAGAACAGAAUGUUGUAUUUUAUGGCACUCCCUCUACCUGAAAGCUGCUACUUAAUGGACUGAGGUGACAGUAAAAGGCACAUUUCUAAAAAUUUGGACUUAUACUCUGAAAAGUAAGGCAUGUCUCUGUACUCUGAAAACUGAAAUGAGUGUGGAAUUAAAUUUAUUGACUUAAAAAAAACCACUUUGCUCUAGCUUCACUCUUGGAUUUUUAAGAACCCACGCUAACCUCUUGACGACUUCCAAGACAUUAUAAUAAUAAAUAAUGUUCUGCAGUUUGUUUUCUGUCACAUCCUCCAGUUUCAGAUGUAAUUGAACGUGCAGUUUGGUCUUUUGCAUGAAUGUUGAAAUUCUGUUGGUGAUGUUUGCAGUUCUGUUGCAGACAGCACCAAGCUGAGUGGUGCGGUUGGCACACUGGAGGGAAGGAAUGCCAACCAGAGGACUUUGACAACCUUGAGAGAUGGGCACAUGCAAACCUCAUAAAGUUCAACAAAGCCAAAUGCAAGGUCCUGCACGUGACUCAGUGCAAUCUCAAGAGCAAAUGCAAGGAUGUUCAGAGGGCUGAAGUACUUCUCCUAUGAGGACAGUCUGAGAGAGUUGAAGUUGUUCAGCCUGGAGAAGAGAGUACUCCAAGCAGACGUUAUGGCAGCCUUCCAGUACCUAGAAGGGGCCUAUAGGAAAGCUGGAGAGGGACUCUACCAGGGUGUGUAGUGAUAGGAUAAGAAAUAAUGAUUUUUAACUGAAAGAAGGUAGGUUUAUAUUAGAUACUAAGGAAUUCUUUACUAUGAGGGUGGUGAGGCACUAGGAAAGGUUGCCCAGAGAAGUUGUGGAAGUGUUCGAAUCAAGACUGAAUGGGGCUUUGAGCAACGUGGCCUAGUGGGAAGCAUUUCUGCCUAUGGCAGGAGGUUAGAACUAGAUGAUCUUUAAGAUCCCUUCCAAGCCAAACCAUUCUAUGAUUCUAUGUAAGAACUGGAAGAGGCCAUAGGACAUUCUUCUUGAGCUUCAUGACGUCUUAGAAGUAACAGCAGGAGUAACAAGUAGUUACAAAUCAUCGGGGAGACUUGAUUAACUCUCCACAUCCAAGCAAUUUAACAUAGUGUUACUGCUCAUGCAGAAUCUAACUUCACAGGAUCUCUGUGUUGCCUUGGCAAUAGCAUAUACUGGGCUGCUGUUUUACACAUAUAUUGGACACAAGAACCUUCUUCAAGUAUCAUGUGAAAAGCUUUUGUAAUGUUCUGUCCAUUUUCCUCCAACAGUAAAUUUCCUACCAUGGAUAAGUUCCCAUACCAAAAUAUACAAUGCUUUUACUGGUUAUAGGCCAGGGAGUGGAAUUCUUCACUAAUUCUCCCAGACAUCAUCCUUCUUCAGACUCCAGGAGAAGAAGGUGACCAGGAUUUACGUAUGAGGGCUAUUUUACCUGCUGUUGCUGUUGGCCUGUGACUGCGCACACUGGGACAAGAUGUAGGAUAUAGUAAGGAUGUCCCUCAGUCUCACCUCACAUUUCAUUUGAGAUGAUUUGAGUGCACAUCUUCUGCCUCCAAUGUAGGUGUAUGUGAGCCAUGACCAGGCUAUAUGCAGGAUUCCAGGUCAGGCUUUUCCCACCACUAAGCUGUUUCACUUUGUUGGCAAUAACUCUUCACUAGACUGGAGGAGGUGAGGCCUAGAGGUCAGGGCAUUUAUGUGGAAAGAAGGAAAUCUGUGUCAUUCAUCCCAUGGGAAUGCUUUCUGUGUGGCCUCAGACACUAUUACUCACUUUCUCUCUGGCACACUGGCUAUUUUUGCAGGUUCAAAUUACUGCAGAGGGAGGAAAGAUCUGAAACAGGGCCUACCAGAUCCUCAAUGAAUGCUGUAACCUACCAGACACUGGGGGAGACAGAAAGAAGGGACCAUCUUCUUUGGCUGUGUUCUGUAGGCACCAAGCCAGAUGGCAUGUCCAAGACUGACUUUGCAAUUGAAGCAGGCAUGGAACAAGUUUCUGUUAAUCAUGGUAAAGCCCAGAUUUCAAGCACUCUCUUUACAACAUAGCAUGAUAAAUGUGAGACAAUACUGAGACUAAAGACCUGAGCUUUAGGUGGCUAGAAGAUGGCAGUGGUGAAAACACAAGUGACAAGGGACUUCACACACCUCUAGAAUUAGGUGGCAGCUGAGCAAGGGCUUUAGAUACUCUCAGGUGCAGCCUUUUGAAAUUGAGACCAAUGUGUUUUUCUCAGGCAAGACCCUGAGAAUCAGCAUCCCCAGACUUCACCAGGAGCUUUACCACUCAGAGCUAAAUCCUUAGUGCCAGCUACAAUUCCAGUAGCAUUCAAAAUGAGCCCAUCCUCAUCUUCAGUUCCACACCUGUCCCAUUGAAGCUUGGUUUGCAUUUGGAACAAUGAUGUCAUUGGCUAUAGUGCCCACCUCUAUGGAAAUAGGGCAGUUUUCCAGUCAUUUCUAUUGCAAAUGGAAGAAGAGACUCCAGGGGACCUCAUACCUUAAUGAAUCAAAAUCCCUGGAUUAGCUUUCUCCAGGCUUGUCUUCAGCAGAGUCAUUACAUAAGUACGAUAGCUACAUAAUGCAUAGGUGAGACAAAGAUCUCAUAAGACAGCAUAGCAGGGAGCAGAACUAGAAAUAGUUAAGUAUGCUUUUCCAUCCUCAUGUACAAAAAGAGGGGCACGUUGACUGAGGGUCUGUCAGAAACAAAUGCCAAUGUCAAGACCUGUGCUCUCCUGCAGAGUUUGGUGCUGGCUAAGUUGUCUCUGCUGGAGUUUGGCAAGGAGUGAUGCAAGUGAAGAGGCUGAAAGGAAGUGAUUAUUUAGCACCAGCAGGUUUGUGAGUCCCUGCAGCAGAAGGUUGGCAUGUAAUACUCCAGCAAAUCAUGGCAUAACAUUGAUGCUGCCACUUUGGCUUCAGCGGAUCUCAGCAGCAGGAGUUAUCCAAGCAGAGUUAUAAGCAGAGAUCUACUGUUACUAUCUAUAGAAAACCAAAUGUGAUGGAAGCCCUGACUGUCCCAGGCACGGACUUGUUUCUUUUUAGUUAAAGUUCUUCUUAGGUUUUACUCAGACUGUGCACACCAACAGGAGGACAGGUGAAUAGCUCCCCAGAGAACACAUCCUGGUGUGACUAAGCAUCUGAGUAAGAGCACAUGGGAGUGUACAAAGGUUAUGAAAACUGUCUUAUAGCAUUUGCUCUGCUCUCACGUAUGGAAAAGCAGCAGGAGAUUUUGCCAAAGUAAAGACUGAAUUAAUACCCAAACAUUUGGUCACUACAGCCUGUUUCUUAUUUAUAUUAAUGUCCUUUUUGACAGCUGUGAUAUCUGAAAAGAGCCUGGCACCCAAUUUACCCAGCAUACAAUCCAUCAAAAUUGUCAUAGAGUAAAAAGGGUAUAGCAUAAAUGAAGAUUUGUCCCUUUGUUGUUUCUGCUGUCCUGCCUGGAACUUUGUGGUGGUGCCGAAGCAGAAAAACCCCUCUCAGCCACCACAGUAUUUGAGUUAAGAUCUCCCUGGGGAAACUGGGAGAGGACGUAGGCGCAGGAUUCAGACAGACGUAGUGAAUUUCCAACCUCAUGGCUACCAGGGGACAAGGCCAGCAACUGCAAGUUCCUGCAGAACCAGCCCACCCAUUUUGCUGUCUCUACCCCAUGCGCUCUCUGAAGAAAUCUGAGAGACAGCAGGCACCUGCUCUGGCAGGGGCAGGGGGCAGAGGAGGGCCACAGCUAGAGGGCAAGGACUCAGCCCAGCAGGGUGGCUGGCUGGGAAAAGCAAAGGAGAAACCCAGGCAGUGAAGGGAGGAGGUCCCAGGGACACCAGGCAGAUGGCUGUGCAAGGGCCAGGGGUUGUAAAAGGCAAAGGCUGAAAACUAGGGACGAGGAGGUCAUGAAGUGCAUAAGAAACAGCAGACAAAAAGGGCCAGCUCUGCAGAGUCUACCUACAGCCAAUGCUCUGGGCCCAUCUGGAUAUUGUUAGGCCCCUUGCCCACCCACCUACCAUGCCUGGAACGUGCAAGUACCUUAUCUUGCAUUUCUUGUAAUGCAGAACACCAACUUCUUUUUAUGCUUCUUGGCACAGUUUAUGACCUUUUUACAACUCCUUCCCUGUCAGGAUAUAGG
ensembl:lncRNA